UAUCAAAACGCUCAAUACAAUCUACUAGUUUCAGAUUCUGUACGUCCGUACUUUUAAAUAGAUGGAAAAAUAUGAAGCUUAUACACCGUUUAAUAUAAUAAAAAAUCUAUUCGACUAUUUAUACCAGAUAUGAUUUUUGUAUUUUUUUUUUAAUAAAGGAUUACAUUUUAACAUGCCUGUGUAUUUUAUCAAUUUUAAUCACCACUCUCAUUCAACCAAGUCAUUUGUCUUUCAUAUGCCUGCAGUAUAAAUUUACCAGAAACAAAGAAAAACAUAUAGUAAGGCCUAUGACCAAAUCAAACUUGAACAACAGUACUAGGAAAACAUGGUAUAACUACAAUAACAUGAAAGCAAUAGCUGAUAAAGUAAAUGUUCUAGGCUUGAUGUGCGCAGGACAAGAUUGACGUGCAUUUUUUCUUUCGUUCAAAAUCUUCGAGAAAAUAGUGAAUAACAACUUCAUAUCGAACUUAUACAACUGUAUAUAUAAUUGUGAUGUUAUAUUGGGGUCCUUACCCCCUUAAACCCCCAUUUGUGAAGCUAAAUGAAGUUCACCCGUCCUGCAUUCCUUUCCUAUUUGAUCGUCAAUAGAUAUAUAGAGUUCAGUUUUUCAAAUUGAGGGUCUAAACGAACACCUCCAAAAUGGCUAGCAGAAAAGAUAAAAAAUAUAGAAAUGAAAAGUCUACGGCUAAAAUUUUAAAUGAAAGCAGAAAUGUUUUAUACGGUGACACAUCUGAUAUGUCUAAUUUAAUGAACAAAGUAUUAACUCUGUUAAUUAAAAUGGACAUAAGACUGUCAAGUAUUGAAAAUAAUACAGGAUAAAAUACUCCAACACUUACUCAAAUGAACGACAAACAUCCAUAACCACUUCCAUAACAGCUCGGGUCAUAACGAAAAGGUUUCUAUGAUGUUAAAACUAGAGUGUCAGAUUUAGAAUCGAAUUAUCAUGGCACCAGUAAUCUUUGAUGAAGUUGAAAAAAAGACAGAUUACUUAGAAAAG
rnacentral:lncRNA from 1 species